rnacentral:rRNA from 1 species
AGGACGAACGCUGGCGGCGUGCCUAACACAUGCAAGUCGAACGAGGCCCAUGCAGUGGCAACACUGCGGAAGGCCUAGUGGCGAACGGGUGAGUAACACGUGAGGAACUUGCCCCGGAGACCGGGAUAACUCUCCGAAAGGAGAGCUAAUACCGGAUGUCCUCACCGAAUCGCAUGGUUUGUGAGGAAAUGGAUUCCGCUCCGGGAGAGCCUCGCGGCCUAUCAGCUAGUUGGUGGGGUAACGGCCACCAAGGCAUCGA